rnacentral:miRNA from 1 species
GUUCAGCUGACACAUCCCUGCCAAUCUCUGGCAGAUCCUCCCUCCCAGACCCUCCCACCUCCUGCACAGCAUCCAUGUUGAAGCUGUCUUCAACAUGGAUGCUGUCCAGGAAGUAGGAGGGUCUGGGAGGGAGGGUCUGCCGGAGAUUGGCAGGGAUGUGUCAGCUG